UCCCCCACAUCUGUGGGGGGGCGGCUUUUGUUCUCCCUGAGCCACCGCCAACCAGACACAGACAGUCUGACAAGGAGUUGG
rfam:Gadgets Gully virus isolate OTT53.IT9 polyprotein gene, complete cds